UGUCGUGGGCGGGGUCAAGGCAAAGCAACAGCAGCAGCAAACAGCAAGCACUCCGGAGGCAAACUUUCGCAAUUGGCUGGCGUUAUUUUUGGAUUAAGCAGCUAAACAGCGCCAAAUUGUAACAGACGAACGAACAACGACCGACAAUUAACGAUUAACAUUAAGUCCAACUGAAGUAGGGGAAAGUGCUUAGGAUUCUUUUGCCGUCCACUUACCGCCAGCAAACAGCAAACAGAGAAAAGCAAAGA